rnacentral:rRNA from 1 species
UACAUGGGGUGCAAACGUUGCUCGGAAUUAUUGGGCGUAAAGCGCACGUAGGCGGUUUGUUAAGUCGGAUGUGAAAUCCCUCGGCUCAACUGAGGAAGUGCAUCCGAAACUGGCAAGCUUGAGUACGAAAGAGGAUCGCGGAAUUCCCGGUGUAGAGGUGAAAUUCGUAGAUAUCGGAAGGAACGCCGGUGGCGAAAGCGGCGUACUGGACCUCUUCUGACGCUGAGGCGCGAAAGCUAGGGGAGCAAACGGG